UCUCUCCUCCUGUUCUCUCUGCGUUGACAUGUGUUGGAUCAGUCUCUGUUGUGGUUCUACUGGUGUUACUGGUUCUGCUGGUGAGACGACAUGCCCAAAGGAAACCUAAAGAGAAUGAUCCAGCUGCAGAAGAUGUCAGUUAUGGACAAAUCAUGGUCAAAGAGAAACACAGUGAAUUAAAGAUGAGAGAGAGCGAUUCAACUACAAUCUACUCAGAAGUGAGAACAGGCGACUUCUGCUAUGGACCAAAAACCACCAGAUCAAAGAGUCCCAAAGAGUUUAAACCAGAGCCAGACGCCAUCUACUCUUUACUGAAGUAGUCCACCAGUCCAACCACACAUGUCCACCUGCUGGUCUCUAACUGGUCCCCCCAGCACCUCAGACCAGAGGACAUAUGGAGCAGCAGUGCAGUAGCUUCU